CCAGUUGGGCAGAGGAUCCUCCUCACACCAUGACUGUGGUCUGACAUCCACCCAAGGUGCCGAAGCUGGAAGCACUUCAGACUCGCUGAGAUUUAUGCCUGUGUGAAAGAUCCAAUACAUCUUGGGCUUGAGAGACCUUCUGCUUUUCCUGGAGCUAGCCUGCAUUUCGUGUAUUUCAGCAUGCCACCUCAGGUGCUUUCUCCCAAGGAACCUUUGUUCCAGAGCAUCUGAGUGUUUCAGGAGCGCUUGAACAAGAAGGCAAACACGACAGUCAAUUAAAAACCAAUUCUUUGGCUCUGGUGUCAUUAAUCAAACGCACAAGCAGCCCCAGCACUGACACCUGGCAGGGUUAAUGCUUAAGACCUGUGGCAAUUACAGCUCCCCUGAAAAUCGCUUGGCCAGCAAGUCACAUAAAAGCCUGU